UACGUAGGGUGCAAGCGUUGUCCGGAAUUAUUGGGCGUAAAGAGCUCGUAGGCGGUUCGACAAGUCGGAUGUGAAAUCUCCACGCUCAACGUGGAGGGGCCAUUCGAAACUGUCGUGACUUGAGUCCGGUAGGGGAGUGUGGAAUUCCCGGUGUAGCGGUGAAAUGCGCAGAGAUCGGGAGGAACACCCGUAGCGAAGGCGGCACUCUGGGCCGUGACUGACGCUGAGGAGCGAAAGCGUGGGGAGCAAACAGG
rnacentral:rRNA from 1 species